rnacentral:rRNA from 1 species
GGCCCAGAUCGUUUACCGUGAAAAAAUUAGAGUGUUCAAAGCAGGCAGAUCCAAUUUUCUGCCACCGAAUACAUUAGCAUGGGAUAAUGGAAUAGGACCCUGUCCUCCUAUUUUCAGUUGGUUUUGGCAGCGCGAGGACUAGGGUAAUGAUUAAUAGGGAUAGUNGGGGGCAUUAAUAUUUAAUUGUCAGAGGUGAAAUUCUUGGAUUUAUGAAAGAUUAACUUNUGCGAAAGCAUCUGCCAAGGAUGUUUUCAUUAAUCAAGAACGAAAGUUAGGGGAUCGAAGACGAUCAGAUACCGUCGUAGUCUUAACCAUAAACGAUGCCGACCAGCGAUUAGGAGACGUUGAAUACAAAACACCACCAUCGGUGCGGUCGUCCUUGGCGUCUCGGUUUCGGCCGGGGUGCGGGGACGGCUUAGCCCGGUGGCACCGGUGAAUGACUCCCCUAGCAGCUUGUGAGA